rnacentral:rRNA from 1 species
AACGAACGCUGGCGGCAUGCCUAACACAUGCGAGUCGAACGAGACCUUCGGGUCUAGUGGCGCACGGGUGCGUAACGCGUGGGAACCUGCCCUUAGGUUCGGAAUAACUCCCCGAAAGGGGUGCUAAUACCGGAUAAUGUCUUCGGACCAAAGAUUUAUCGCCUUUGGAUGGGCCCGCGUUGGAUUAGCUAGUUGGUAGGGUAAAAGCCUACCAAGGCGACGAUCCAUAGCUGGUCUGAGAGGAUGGUCCGCCACACUGGGGCUGAGACACGGCCCAGACUCCUACGGGAGGCAGCAGUGGGGAAUAUUGGACAAGGGGCGAAAGCCUGAUCCAGCAAUGCCGCGUGAGUGAUGAAGGCCUUAGGGUUGUAAAGCUCUUUUACCCGGGAUGAUAAUGACAGUACCGGGAGAAUAAGCGCCGGCUAACUCCGUG